rnacentral:rRNA from 1 species
UACGUAGGGGGCAAGCGUUGUCCGGAUUUAUUGGGCGUAAAGAGCGUGUAGGCGGCCAGGUAGGUCCGUUGUGAAAACUCGAGGCUCAACCUCGAGACGUCGGCGGAAACCCUCUGGACUAGAGUCCGGAAGAGGAGAGUGGAAUUCCGUGGUGUAGCGGUGAAAUGCGCAGAUAUCAGGAAGAACACCCGUGGCGAAGGCAGGCA